GCUCCGGUCGUCUAGUCCGGUCAUCAGUCAAUGUCCGAGAGGAUAGAGGCCCUUCGAGCCUCCGACGUGGGUUCAAAUCCCGCCCGGAGCACCA
rnacentral:tRNA from 1 species